CCUCAGUCAGUGCCAGUCUAAAGGUGAAGGCUUUCCUUGUUGAGAGACUAUUCCUCCCUAAUGACAGAAGACUCUCUCCUAUACUUAAAUUAUUUUAACAUUUUGUAAUUUAAAAUGUUCAUAUGUGGGUUCUGUAUAUAACGAAACACACCUGCUUCUUGGGCUGGGCCCCGCCCCCACGAGGAGGGUUGAGGUGUUUCCAGGGACUCAUUUAUGACUUUCCCUGGGGGUGUGACUGUGGACUCCUAACUCGUUAACAUCUACAUUCUCUUUACUUAUCCAGUUAUGUUCUUCCAGACAUAGCUCCAAUAACAUCACCCUGCCCUUGCUCGAGGACCUUCAAUCACUGCCCACUGGCUGCAGGAUGAAUUCCCAGGCCUCUGCCUGGCCUUCAGAGCCCUCCACAAUCACCCUCAUGGCCUGUUUUCCUCCAGGAACUCACACCAGCUCUGCUUCUAGAUCAUGAGUCCACCCAGGCCGGCACAUUCGGUGAGGGCCUGCUGACUCACUAAGGUUGACUAAUCCCAAAUCCCCAACCGUUUACCAAGAGACUUAAAGUUCUGCUCUGAUAAAGACAGGCUGCCGUGCUGACAGCUGGCAGUUCCUAGCCUUUGCCUAGCUCGCCACCACCAGCAUUUUGAAAAGAAAGAUUCCAAGAAAGGCAGAAGUGAGGUGCUUGAUUUGGGUCACGGAGUCUGACCUGCCUGACUAGUUAGCGGUGAAGCUGGGUACAAGAAAUCGGGGCUCUGUGUUUCUGGACUAGCACAGUAAGAGAGACCUGCCUCAGGGAAUGCUUUAGGAAGCCUGCCAGCUCCUCCACCAGGAGCCAACAGGCUACAAAGCAGACUUCCAAGGCCCUGAGGAGCCAUGGAAUGCGCCCUUGCUUGUGUAUGCCAGAAGUCAGGUGGCUGAGGCCUCGAGAGUAGGGCCUGGGGGACAGGCCAGGCAUGGCGGUGGAAGGGGCGAGAACGGUCAUGCUGCAAAGCUUCGAAGGCCCAGCAGAGGGCUGCAGGCAGUCCGUAGCAAGGGUGGAGGGGCGCCAGUGAAGGGUGCGCCUUGGUGGCAUGUGCAGCCACAAGAGCAAGACCUGGCAGGCUUGUCAUCACUGGCUCUGUUACUCAAGUUGGACAAGAACGUGCCCCAUGGUACAGACAGGCGAGGGAUGCUAAGGAGGAUGUCUACAAGUGGGAGGAGUCUGCCAAGGCCGGGUCUCGGAGGUCACUGAGCCUUACUGCUGCCUAAUGCUUCAGUCCUCUUGACUAUCCUCAGUCAUGCCCUGGACUGGAUGUCCCUAGUUAUAAACAGGAAGCCCCACUGUCACUGCAGAGUGCCUUCAGCCUGAGCACAGCCUCGUAUCCACAGGCAUCUUCAUCAAAACCUCCCUGUCCUGUCUCACCUCCAGAAUCCUAGAUGCACACUGUGGCUCCUGUGGUAGCUCCAAAGGUGGCGUUGGAGAGCCGUGCCUCCUGACAUUCGUGGCCACAUGUAGGGGCCAGCCUAUGCCCUGCCAUAACCAGCACCACGGGACAUUUCAGGCCUCUGCCUUCAUGGCAGCUUCUGCAUUUGCACUUCCGGGAGCCCUCUGCAGCCACGCAAGCUGGCUACCAUGGAGAGAGCGAGCUCCAGCCACCGCACCGUAGGGCAAGCCCACCUCUAAGGUGGCAGCUUCUCCUGGCCUCCCCAUGGCCGCAAGCCACCUUUCCUGUGCUUAUACACAGAGGAAGGCAAGUGCCCACCUCGGUAGGACAAGAAGGAAGUAAACCCAUGAGA